rnacentral:rRNA from 1 species
UCAACCCCUUUAAGCCGUUGAAACUGGUGAUCUUGAGUGGGCGAGAAGUAUGCGGAAUGCGUGGUGUAGCGGUGAAAUGCAUAGAUAUCACGCAGAACCCCGAUUGCGAAGGCAGCAUACCGGCGCCCUACUGACGCUGAGGCACGAAAGUGCGGGUAUCGA